GUGCCAGCAGCCGCGGUAAAACGUAGGUGGCGAGCGUUAUCCGGAUUCAUUGGGCGUAAAGAGCUUGUAGGUGGGCGCGUAAGUUGGACGUGAAAGCCCCGGGCUUAACUCGGGGAGGCCGUUCAAUACUGCGCGGCUGGAGGCUGUCAGAGGGGAGUGGAAUUCCUGGUGUAGCAGUGAAAUGCGUAGAUAUCAGGAGGAACACCCGUGGCGAAGGCGGCUCCCUGGGGCAGGCCUGACACUGAGAAGCGAAAGCUGGGGGAGCAAACGGGAUUAGAAACCCCCGUAGUCC
rnacentral:rRNA from 1 species